rnacentral:rRNA from 1 species
GAUGAACGCUAGCUACAGGCUUAACACAUGCAAGUCGAGGGGAAACGAUAUUGGAAGCUUGCUUCCGAUAGGCGUCGACCGGCGCACGGGUGAGUAACGCGUAUCCAACCUGCCCAUCACUUGGGAAUAACCUUGCGAAAGUAAGACUAAUGCCCAAUGACAUUUAUAGAAGGCAUCUGAAAUGAAUUAAAGAUUUAUCGGUGAUGGAUGGGGAUGCGUCUGAUUAGCUUGUUGGCGGGGUAACGGCCCACCAAGGCGACGAUCAGUAGGGGUUCUGAGAGGAAGGUCCCCCACAUUGGAACUGAGACACGGUCCAA